rnacentral:lncRNA from 1 species
UCAACACAAGGGAAAGACUUGAGUUACUUCCAAUAGGGGUCUAUUCGUCAGUCAAAGCGUUAAUCUUGAAGGAGCAAAGGUUUGUUCAUGAGCUGUCAUGCUCGCUAGGCGAAGCCCACGUUUUUUGAAAAAAGAAAAUGAAAAAAAAAAUGAAAAAAAAAAAGAAGAAACGGAAAACGAAAGAAAAAAAAAACGGAAAACGGAAAAGAAAAAGAAAAAAAAAGAAAAAAAAAAGAAAAAAUAAAUAAAUAAAUAAAUAAAAGAAAAAAUCUUGGACUUGUACCUCUCUCAUUUGAGCCCACAGGGCCACAAAAAUCAGGUUAUAAAUUCAGAGUUUCAUGAAAC